AAUGAUAAGCCAAAGCAAGGGAAGUUUGCAACGUAAGACCCUCAGCCCUCAUUUUUAGUCGGCUUUGCGAGUGUACAAUCAUGUUCACCCCGGGGCCUGAAACUCCAUAAUUCAAUUUGCGACGAUUGUACAUCCGCUAAGAAAAGUCCGCAAAUACGUAAAAACGACAUCAAUGGAGAAGUCAACAUACACAUGAGGCCCAGAAAAUAAAUGAACAGCGGACAUUCAUUUUUACCUGGUCAAAAACCUCCACAUCCUUCUCAGUCCGUGCCUGAAGGUGGUCCUCGAAGGUGUUCUGAUCUGGUUCGACAACUUCCAUCACAUCAGUCAACAGCUGUGGCUCCCGUCUGUACUCGGUGGAGGCCUGCAUGCUGCUGUUAUGUGCAAAAAUAAUUACAUUCAGGUUGUUCACCCACCCUUCCUGGUACCAAUCAAGGGACACGUCAGACUUGAGGGUCUGGUUGGUCCAUUCACCAAACCUGGAAGAUGGGAAAGGAAAGCGAU